rnacentral:rRNA from 1 species
GAUGAACGCUGGCGGCGUGCCUAAUACAUGCAAGUCGAGCGAACAGACGAGGAGCUUGCUCCUCUGACGUUAGCGGCGGACGGGUGAGUAACACGUGGAUAACCUACCUAUAAGACUGGGAUAACUUCGGGAAACCGGAGCUAAUACCGGAUAAUAUAUUGAACCGCAGGGUUCAAUAGUGAAAGACGGUUUUGCUGUCACUUAUAGAUGGAUCCGCGCCGCAUUAGCUAGUUGGUAAGGUAACGGCUUACCAAGGCAACGAUGCGUAGCCGACCUGAGAGGGUGAUCGACCCCCCUGGAACUGAGACUAGGCCCAGACUCCUACGGCAGGCAGCAGUAGGGAACCUUCCGCAAUGGGCGAAAGCCUGACGGAGCAACGCCGCAUGAGUGAUGAAGGUCUUCGGAUCGUAAAACUCUGUUAUUAGGGAAGAACAAAUGUGUAAGUAACUAUGCACGUCUUGACGGUACCUAAUCAGAAAGCCACGGCUAACUACGUG